AAUAGAUACCCUGGUAGUCCACGCCGUAAACGGUGGGCACUAGAUGUGGGGCUCUUUCCAUGAGUUCCGCGUCGCAGCUAACGCAUUAAGUGCCCCGCCUGGGGAGUACGGCCGCAAGGCUAAAACUCAAAGGAAUUGACGGGGGCCCGCACAAGCGGCGGAGCAUGCGGAUUAAUUCGAUGCAACGCGAAGAACCUUACCAAGGCUUGACAUAUACGGUCUAUCCCUAGAGAUAGGGAGUGCUUCGGCGCCGUAUACAGGUGGUGCAUGGUUGUCGUCAGCUCGUGUCGUGAGAUGUUGGGUUAAGUCCCGCAACGAGCGCAACCCUCGUCCUAUGUUGCCAGCGGAUAAUGCCGGGGACUCAUGGGAGACUGCCGGGGUCAACUCGGAGGAAGGUGGGGAUGAGGUCAAAUCAUCAUGCCCCUUAUGUCUUGGGCUUCACGCAUGCUACAAUGGCCGGUACAAAGGGCUGCAAUACCGCGAGGUGGAGCGAAUCCCAAAAAGCCGGUCUCAGUUCGGA
rnacentral:rRNA from 1 species